UACGUAGGGUGCAAGCGUUAAUCGGAAUUACUGGGCGUAAAGCGUGCGCAGGCGGUUCGGAAAGAAAGAUGUGAAAUCCCAGAGCUUAACUUUGGAACUGCAUUUUUAACUACCGGGCUAGAGUAUGUCAGAGGGGGGUAGAAUUCCGCGUGUAGCAGUGAAAUGCGUAGAGAUGCGGAGGAACACCGAUGGCGAAGGCAGCCUCCUGGGAUGACACUGACGCUCAUGCACGAAUGCGUGGGGAGCAAACAGG
rnacentral:rRNA from 1 species